rnacentral:rRNA from 1 species
AGCGAACGCUGGCGGCAGGCCUAACACAUGCAAGUCGAACGAACCCUUCGGGGUUAGUGGCGGACGGGUGAGUAACACGUGGGAACGUGCCUUUAGGUUCGGAAUAACACAGGGAAACUUGUGCUAAUACCGAAUGUGCCCUUCGAGGGAAAGAUUUAUCGCCUUUAGAGCGGCCCGCGUCUGAUUAGCUAGUUGGUGAGGUAAUGGCUCACCAAGGCUACGAUCAGUAGCUGGUCUGAGAGGAUGACCAGCCACAUUGGGACUGAGACACGGCCCAAACUCCUACGGGAGGCAGCAGUGGGGAAUCUUGCGCAAUGGGCGAAAGCCUGACGCAGCCAUGCCGCGUGGAUGAUGAAGGUCUUAGGAUUGUAAAAUCCUUUCACCGGUGAAGAUAAUGACUGUAGCCGGAGAAGAAGCCCCGGCUAACUUCGUGCCAGCAGCCGCAGUAAUAC